GAACGAAGGCUUCGGCCUUAGUGGCGCACGGGUGCGUAACGCGUGGGAAUCUGCCUUUCGGUACGGAAUAACUCAGAGAAAUUUGAGCUAAUACCGUAUGAUGUCGUAAGACCAAAGAUUUAUCGCCGAAAGAUGAGCCCGCGUAGGAUUAGCUAGUUGGUGGGGUAAAGGCCUACCAAGGCGACGAUCCUUAGCUGGUCUGAGAGGAUGAUCAGCCACACUGGGACUGAGACACGGCCCAG
rnacentral:rRNA from 1 species